AAAACACACUCAUCAUGAAUCUAUAUAUAGUGACAUCACGUCCUACUGCAUCGAGAUCAGGACUCCUCCUCAAACAGACUCAUCAGGAAUCUAUAUAUAGUGACAUUUUGAAACAAACAAGGUGAGAAAGGAGAACUAAACAGACACCGGGUUGACAAAACUUUAAGAACACCUGUUCUCUUUCCACGACAGACUGACCAGGUGAAAGCGGUGAUCCAUUAUUGAUGUCACUUGUUAAAUCCACUUCAAAAUCAGUGUAGAUGAAGGGGAGGAGACAUGUAGAUGAAGGGGAGGAGACAUGUAGAUGAAGGGGAGGAGACGGGUUAAAGAAGGAUUUAGAAGCUUUUCGACAGUUGAGACAUGGAUUGUGUGUGGCUGUAAGAGCCUUCGAACGGGGUGUGGUAGUAGGUGACAGGCGCACUGGUUUGUGUCAAGAACUGCAAUGCUGCUGGGGUUCUCACACUCAACAGUUUCCCGCGUGUAUCAAGAAUGGUCCACCACCCAAAGGACAUCCAGCCACCUUGACACAACUGUGGGAAGCAUUGGAGUCAACAGGGACCAGCAUGCCUGUGGAUCGCUUUCGACACCUUGUAGAGUCAACAUGGACCAGCAUCCCUGUGGAACGCUUGACACCUUGUAGAGUCCAUGUCCCGACGAAUUGAGUCUGUUCUGAGGGCAACUCAAUAUUAGGGAAGGUGUUCUUAAUGUUUUGUUCACUCAGUGUAAAUUCUCUUCUCAACAUUACACUGUACACUCCAGGUCGACUGUUAAGCUCUUAGUAUUCCUUAUCUACCUGUUAAAUAACCAUAUUGAAGUAAUCAUUAAUUCAUUAAUGACUUCCCCCAUCAGCGGGGUUCAGUCUAGUCCAGAAGAACAGGUUGUUAGAUUGUUAGAUUGAGUUCCACAUCAGCAGGGUCCAGUCUCGUCCAGAAGAACAGGUUGAGUUCCACAUCAGCAGGGUCCAGUCUAGUCCAGAAGAACAGGUUGAGUUCCACAUCAGCAGGGUUCAGUCUAGUCCAGAAGAACAGUUUGUUAGAUUGAGUUCCACAUCAGCAGGGUCCAGUCUAGUCCAGAAGAACAGGUUGUUAGAUUGUUUGGCUUGUCUUCCUCUGUCAGAGCAGCUAGUAAAAGUCAAGUAGUAUUAAUUAUGAAACAUUUUCCCACCGAGAAGCUGUUCAACACAACGUUGACUCCAUAUGGACAACCUUAAAGUGACCGUGUAGUCUGUCUCUGAACCUCAACUUCACAGUUUGUUGCUAAAGUAGUGCAUCGUUUGGCUUCACCACAGCUGUCUGUUAGAGAGUCAGUGUUCAGGUGGAAACCCAGGUGGCUCCUGGUAAUUGGGAGUCAGAGAGUUCAGGUAGAAGCCCAGGUGGCUCCAGGUAAUUGGGAGUCAGAGAGUUCAGGUGGAAGCCCAGGUGGCUCCAGGUAAUUGGGAGUCAGAGAGUUCAGGUGGAAGCCCAGGUGGCUCCAGGUAAUUGGGAGUCAGAGAGUUCAGGUGGAAGCCCAGGUGGCUCCAGGUUACAUGGUUGGAAGCCCAGGUGUCUCCAGGCUACAUGGUUGGAAGCCCAGGUGUCUCCAGGUUACAUGGUAAUUCUCUUUAACAAUGUUAUUGCCAAUAGAAGAAGAAAAGUGACCCAUCCAUAUUUCCAGGAUGGGAAGGCACUUUGGUGACAAGUCUCUCCGUCUGAAAUUCCACCCUAUCCCCUCAUCAGGGAAUUAGGUGCCAUUUGGGACACACCCUGACAGGAAUAUGUAUUGAGCUGGUCUGUCAUCGUUGUGGUAGAUGGGUGUGUGUGUUUUAACUUCCUGGUCAGUCAUCGUUGUGGUAGAUGAGUGUGUGUGUUUUAACUUCCUGGUCAGUCAUCGUUGUGGUAGAUGAGUGUGUGUGUUUUAACUUCCUGGUCAGUCAUCGUUGUGACAGAUGAGUGUGUGUGUUUUAACUUCCUGGUCUUUGGGUUGUGCAUCUUAUCUACAAAUCGUCUCUGAAUGUAAAAACGGAGGUUUUAUCCAAGAAGGUUGUGUUUCCC
ensembl:lncRNA